GUCGAGAAUCUUUCACAAUGGGGGCAACCCUGAUGGAGCGACGCCGCGUGGAGGAUAAGGUCUUCGGAUUGUAAACUCCUGUCAUGCGUGAACAAGGUUGCUUGGUUAAUACCUGGGCAAAUUGAUGGUAACGCAAGAGGAAGAGACGGCUAACUCUGUGCCAGCAGCCGCGGUAAUACAGAGGUCUCAAGCGUUGUUCGGAAUCACUGGGCGUAAAGGGUGCGUAGGUGGCGUGGUAAGUCAGAUGUGAAAGCCCGGGGCUCAACCUCGGAACUGCAGCCGAUACUGCCAUGCUAGAGUACUGGAGAGGUGACUAGAAUUCUCGGUGUAGCAGUGAAAUGCGUAGAUAUCGAGAGGAAUACCAAAGGCGUAGGCAGGUCACUGGACAGUUACUGACACUGAGGCACGAAGGCCAGGGGAGCGAACGGGAUUAGAAACCCUUGUAGUCC
rnacentral:rRNA from 1 species